AAGCUUGAAUAUGUUGCUGCAUGCCCCCUACAUCUCCCCAUUCUUUAAUUCUUAGGGCAUUCUGGUCAUCCAAUGCAAGCUUGUCUCCUGAACUAAAAAUUACAGAAACAGAGGAAAAAGAGGAGAAAGAGGAAGUGGAGAAGGAGAGAGGACAGAGGAAGAAAGAGACCUGAUUCCUUGAAGCACAGGAACACCUAUCUUUUCCUGACCUUGGACAUUGGCACUACUGGUUCUCCAGCCUUUGGACUUAGCCUAACUGCACUAUGAGAUUUGGGGUUCUCCAGCUUGCAAAUGGCCUAUCAUGGAACUUAUUUAUGUCCAUAAUUGUGUAAGCUAAUUUUUAUAAUAAAUCCCUUCUU
rnacentral:lncRNA from 1 species